GGCGUGCGGCAUGACUAAUACAUGCAGUCGAGCGGACUUGAUGAGAAGCUUGCUUCUCUGAUGGUUAGCGGCGGACGGGUGAGUAACACGUAGGCAACCUGCCCUCAAGCUUGGGACAACUACCGGAAACGGUAGCUAAUACCGAAUACUUGCUUUCUUCGCCUGAAGGGAGCUGGAAAGACGGAGCAAUCUGUCACUUGAGGAUGGGCCUGCGGCGCAUUAGCUAGUUGGUGAGGUAACGGCUCACCAAGGCGACGAUGCGUAGCCGACCUGAGAGGGUGAUCGGCCACACUGGGACUGAGACACGGCCCAGACUCCUACGGGAGGCAGCAGUAGGGAAUCUUCCGCAAUGGGCGAAAGCCUGACGGAGCAAUGCCGCGUGAGUGAUGAAGGUUUUCGGAUCGUAAAGCUCUGUUGCCAGGGAAGAACGUCCUUGAGAGUAACUGCUCAAGGAGUGACGGUACCUGAGAAGAAAGCCCCGGCUAACUACGUGCCAGCAGCCGCGGUAAUACGUAGGGGGCAAGCGUUGUCCGGAAUUAUUGGGCGUAAAGCGCGCGCAGGCGGUCAUUUAAGUCUGGUGUUUAAUCCCGGGGCUCAACCCCGGAUCGCACUGGAAACUGGAUGACUUGAGUGCAGAAGAGGAGAGUGGAAUUCCACGUGUAGCGGUGAAAUGCGUAGAGAUGUGGAGGAACACCAGUGGCGAAGGCGACUCUCUGGGCUGUAACUGACGCUGAGGCGCGAAAGCGUGGGGAGCAAACAGGAUUAGAUA
rnacentral:rRNA from 1 species